UUUCUCAAUACUAUUUCUAUUGCGCCAAUCACAAUAUUCACUGUUACGUAACGAUGUCCAUAUUUGGUAACUUAUGAGCUUUCCUGUGACUCAAUUGGAGCAUUGGAACGCACUUGACUGAGAUCUGUGUCAAAGUUUACUUUCAGAAUUGCUCUCCAGUCUCAAUGCACUUGUCACAGUAAAAAACCCAAAGUGAUUACCAAUGAAUAGUAGCUGGGAUAUUAAAAAUGUCACUACGAUUCUGCUCAUUAUUUUGCAUUGUAAAGGUGCAAAGGCCCAGUCUACAAAGAAGAUCGCCAUCUUAGCUGGCACUGAUGUUACCUUAAACUGCUCUUUUAAGAAGCCUGAACAUGUACCGCUGAAGAAAAUCACGGUUGAGUGGGGGAUGAUGGUGGAUAAAGAGACCAUAAAGCACCUAGUGUAUACGUUCCAGAACGAGAGUGCCAAGGUGCAUCGUGAAGGGUCUCGAGUCGACCAAACGGGGUUCCUUCAGGGCAAUGCAUCCCUUCGUUUGUUCAACAUGACCGUGGCUGAUGAGGGACUCUACCGCUGUAGAGUGAUCAUCACUCCCAACACAUACAAAGUUUCCUCACAGCUGGAAGUAUCAGCCAGACCCUCAGUGUCCCUCCCAGAGACCGCCAUGGUGAUGGAGGGGGAGGAACGGACAUUGAUGUGUGACAUCACAGGAUUCUACCCAGAGAAUCUGGCUGUGACCUGGCUGAUCCAAAAUGGCUCCCGGGUGGCCCGUGGGAGCAUGGCUCGCGGGGCCAUCUCACGUGAUGUGUGCACUGGAAUGGCUGUGCCCAAUCCAGACGGCACCUACAGUGUCAGCAGUCACAUCACUGUCCAGGCUUCAGCCGUAGGGAGCGGAGGAGCCAUGUACAUCUGUCACAUUGAACAUAGGUCCUACCCUGAUGGAAAAUACAGCAAAAGCAUCUUGUUGACUGUGCAAGAUCCAGGGUUUCAUGCUGUAACGCUGAUGGUAGUUACUAGUCUUGUUAGUGUUCUUCUGGUCUUCUCUGUCAUCGGUGGUGCAAUGGUCUUCUACAGGUAUUUUUACACAGUUCCUCCCAGCAUCUCUGACAUCAUCAAACCCACCAUCGUUUAUGCCAUGAAGCCGACCAACUUAAAAUGCACCAUUAAAAGAGUACGACUGAGAGAGCUCAAAGUGAAAUGGUACAAGAUAACAGCCAACAGGGACUGUAACGCAGCUUCCAAUAGCCAAUCAAAGGCACUGUUGAGCCACAAGGACCUGAGUGACCAGGCUAACAUCCACUCUGAGAGCACACAUCACGUGUCCACCCUGUCCGUCUGUCUGUCAGUUAGGGAGGACCAGGCUAAGUACCUGUGUGUUGUGCUGUACAGAGGCAAGAAGAUCACCAGAGAGACCACUGUGAGUGUAAAAGUGACUCCAUCGUUCUUUCACAUCUCCAGCAUGCCUCAGAUCCCAGAGGUGAAGAGGUUGCUGGUGCUCUGCUGUCGGGUCGAGAAGUUCUACCCGGACGACCUCCAUCUCGAGUGGUCGAGAAAUGACGGGGAGCAGGUGAGGACAGCCACUAACUAUGGACCGUUCUCUGACCACGAGCGGAUGUACAGCAUGUGGAGUAAGAUCGAACUGACAAUAGCUCAGGAAGACGAGAAGGCGGUCUACACAUGCCGCUUGUAUCACUCCAGUUUCGCCGGGCCAGGAUACAAAGACGUUCUCUACCAUAUUAACACACAAGGUACUCCUCCAAGCGUGAUGUUCAUCAAGUGUGAGCCACUACUCCCUCUGCUGGAUGAGGAGUGCACGCUCAACCUCUGUGUCAAAGACUUCUGUCCUGAACAAGUGUCUGUCACAUGGUUUAAGGACGGCCAGACGGUCCCCAACAGCCAGUUCUUCAACUCCCCACCCAGCCUCAACAUCAAUGGCCUCUACUCUAUGUGGAGCUUCCUCAAACUGAGCCACACCUCGGAGGACUACGGCUCAGAGUUCAGGUGCCGGGUGGUCCACAGUGCCCAGAAGGAACCGGAGGAGAGGGUGUUCACACAUCAGAUCUCAUAGUCACCUAGUCAAGGGAAGUCAGACCUUUGAUCAAAUACUGUGUUUGCACUUUUGGGACUUUUCUAUUGGUUCCAUUACAACAGGAAAGCUCAAUAAAGGACGGCUCAAGUAUUUGAAAUGAUUUCAAGUAGUAUUUGAACCCAGGUCUGGGAUGUAUAUAAGGAUAUUACCGCUAAAGUAUAUAGUAUACCUAAGGUUAUUUUUGUAAAUUAAUUUGAUGCAUUUAUACUUGUUUUGUUAAUUCUGUUCACUUUAUCUUCUGAUAGACUGUAAAUAUUGAACUGAAAAAGGUGCUUGCUCUGAACUGUCGUAGCAUACUAGAUAUGCUCAUGUGGGGCCUAAACUAGGAAAAGUGUCAGUACUACACCUUUUAUAUUGAGGUAAGUUAAUCUAACAAACACAGGUUCGUAACCCUAUAUACUUACAUCCUGCAUACGGUAUGAAAAUGGCAGAUUGAUCACUAUAAACACUUCAAUUGGGGCGGCAGGUAGCUUAGUGGUUAGAGCAUUGGGUCAGUAACCGAAAGGGUGUUAAUCGAAUCACCGAGCUGACAAGGUUAAAAAAAAUCUGUCGUUCUGCCCCUGAACAAGGCAGUUAAACCCACUGUUCCUAGGCCGUCAUUGUAAAUAAGAAUUUGUUCUUAACUGACUUUCCUAGUUAAAUAAAGGUUCAAUAUUAUUAUUAUGAUUUUAAUAAUAAUACAAAUAUUAAUAAAUAUUUGUAAUAAUAUAUUUUUUAAUAGUAACAUACAUUAAGUCAGAGCUCUGGGUCUUCAGUUUAUGUAUUAUGGACAGACAAAUUAAAUCAUCAAUCAGUACCUAGAUGGGUUUUAAAAGAAAAAAGAAAACAAGAACUAAUCAAAACAAACUGCCAAAGCAGCAGCUACUCUUCCUGGGGUCCAGCAAAAUUAAUGCAAGUUUAUACCAUUUUAAAAACUUUACAAUACAUUCAUAAUUUUCACAACACACUGUGUGCCUUCAGGCCCCUUCACCACAUAUCUACAAUACUAAAUCCAUGUGCAUGUAUAGUGCGUAUGUUAUCGUAUGUGUUUGUGCCAAUGUUUGUGUUGCUUCACAGACCCAGCUGUUCCAUAAGGUGUUUUUUAAUCUGUUUUUAAAAUGUAAUUUUACUGCUUUACAGUUACUUGAUGUGGAAUAGAGUUCCAUGUAGUCAUGGCUCUAAAAGUCUGUCCUGGACUUGGGGACUGUGAAGAGACCUCUUGUGGCAUGUCUUGUGGGGUAUGCAUGGGUGUCCGAGAUGUGUGCCAGUAGUUUAAACAGACAGCUCAGUGAAGUGGUUAUUUCCUUAAUUUACUUAAACAGUUUUUUCACUUUCUGUGUGUAACAUUAAUACCCACAGACAUGACUGCUCAAGGCUAGGGUUGCAAAACGACCAGUAAUUUAUGUAAUUAAAACAGGUCAUUUAUACUUGAAUGACUUUUAAAAAAUAUAUUAAUUUAAAAUUUGUCUUAAUCGGGCCUCCCGGAUGGCACAGUGGUCUAGGGCAGUGCUAGCUGUGCCACCAGAGACUCUGGGUUUGAGCCCAGGCUCUGUCGCAGCCGGCCGUGACUGGGAGGUCCAUGGGGCGACGCACAAUUGGCCUAGCGUCGGUCCGGGUUAGGGAGAGGCUGGUAGGGAUAUCCUUGUCUCAUCGUGCACUAGCGACUCCUGUGGCGGGCCGGGCGCAGUGGUGCGGCUGGCUUCCGGGUUGGAUGCGCGCUGUGUUAAGAAGCAGUGCGGCUUGGUUGGGUUGUGUUUCGGAGGACACAUGACUCUCGACCUUGGCUCUCCCGAGCCCAUACGGGAGUUGUAGCGACAAGACAGUAACUACUAACAAUUGGAUACCACGAAAAAGGGGGUUCAAAAUACAUUUAAAAAAUGGUCUUAAUCUUUACAUCUUGUCCAUGGGUUUGUAGUGGAUAGACUAUAUGGUUCAAGAGAAAAUACCCUACCUAAUGAAAAAAAGCUAAUCAACCAUGACAUUUUCAAUGAACUCUGCAGUGUUUUUUUUCAUAACUGCCACCAAAACAAAGUCAUAGUAAAAUAAAUAACAUCCUGAAACCCUGA